rnacentral:rRNA from 1 species
UACGGGGGGUGCGAGCGUUGUCCGGAAUCACUGGGCGUAAAGGGCGCGUAGGUGGUGGCUUAAGCGUGCGGUGAAAGCUCGGAGCUCAACUCCGAGUCGGCCGUGCGAACUGGGCUCACUGGAGCAUAGUAGAGGCAGGUGGAAUUCCGGGUGUAGCGGUGGAAUGCGUAGAGAUCCGGAAGAACACCGGUGGCGAAGGCGGCCUGCUGGGCUAUGGCUGACACUGGGGCGCGACAGCGUGGGGAGCAAACAGG